rnacentral:rRNA from 1 species
UACAGAGGGUGCGAGCGUUAAUCGGAAUACUGGGCGUAAAGCGUGCGCAGACGGUUGCGUAAGUCAGAUGUGAAAGCCCCGGGCUCAACCUGGGAAUUGCAUUUGAGACUGCGUAGCUAGGGUGCGGGAAGAGGAAGCGGAUUUCCGGUGUAGCGGUGAAAUGCGUAGAUAUCGGAAGGAACACCAGUGGCGAAAGCGGCUUCCGUGGUCCAGCACCGACGUCAGGCACGAAAGCGUGGGGAGGCAAACAGGAAUAGAUACCCGAUAGUCCGAUACC